GUCCGAUGGCCUGUAACAUUGUCUUGAACUUUAGCCUGUAUUGAUAUUCAUUUCUGGAAUUAUUAGACACAUUAGAUAUAGAUAUUAUCUUUAUAAUAAUCCCCCUCUUCGUGUUGAGACGAUGCAACGGGAUCUUGUCAAAAUAUUUGUGUAAAUACUCAAUAGGGAGAUUAUUACAUUAGGGUUGCUUAUUAUAGAGAUGUUGGCUUUUAUAUAGAUUGCAACAAUAUGUAUAUAACAUUGUAUAUAAC